rnacentral:rRNA from 1 species
AAUGAACGCUGGUGGUGUGCCUAAUACAUGCAAGUCGUGCGAGAAGUUUACUUCUAGCGGCGAACGGGUGAGUAACACGUGUUUAAUCUACCCUUUUGUUUGGAAUAACAUUAAGAAAUUGAUGCUAAUAUUGAAUAGGUAAUAUUGACUUCGGUUUUUAUUAUUAAAGAAGCGUUUGCUUCGCUAAAGGAUGAGAAUGCGCAGCAUUAGGUAGUUGGUAGAGUAAAAGCCUACCAAGCCAACGAUGCUUAGCCGGCCUGAGAGGGUGAACGGCCACACUGGAACUGAGACACGGUCCAGACUUCUACGGGGAGGGCAGCAGUAGGGAAUUUUCGACAAUGAGCGCAAGCUUGAUCGAGCAACACCACGUGAGGGAAGAAGAUUUUAGGAUCGUAAACCUCUGUUGUAAGGAAAGAAAUGCUAGAACAGGAAAUGGUUUAGUUUGACGGUACCUUACCAGAAAGUGACGGCUAACUUCGUGCCAGCCGCCGCGGUAAU